GACUGUGACAGAACCAUAGGCUAGCCGGAACAAUUCACAAUAUCUUAGUAUCAUAAUAGUCAAACAGAAUAAUAGGAGUUAGGAGAUACAGUACUGACUUCUCUGCACAUGUCAUCAUCACACUAUGCUGUUUAACUAUUAACAUUGCAUUCCAGAACCUUGUAACAAGCUUUUAUUGAAGGACAUGAGUUUCAACUUACGUUAAUAUCAAACUAAUUGCUACAUAAACUUGAUAAACUUAAUGUAACAGUUAAUAUGCUUCAAUUCAGGAACUAUGCCAUGAACUCCCCUGCUAAAAGACAUGUUGCUUUUAAUCUCUGUAAUUGUUUGGUCUCAAGCAACAUGUUGAGUCACUUGAUAGGGGUGUACAUCAAUACAUGGUAAAUAAACUGAACUGAUUUGAACCAUAUUAAUGGUUCAGUACCUUAAAACCACUU
rnacentral:lncRNA from 1 species